UACAGGGGGUGCAAACGUUGCUCGGAAUUAUUGGGCGUAAAGCGCACGUAGGCGGUCUGUUAUGUCGGAUGUGAAAGCCCUUGGCUCAACUGAGGAAGUGCAUCCGAAACUGGCAGGCUAGAGUACGUAAGAGAGUCGCGGAAUUCCCGGUGUAGAGGUGAAAUUCGUAGAUAUCGGGAGGAACACCGGUGGCGAAGGCGGCGACCUGGGACGAUACUGACGCUGAGGUGCGAAAGCGUGGGGAGCAAACAGG
rnacentral:rRNA from 1 species